GUCAAGUCCUCAUGGCCCUUACGCCCAGGGUGGCAAACGUGCUACAAUGGCGUGUACAAAGCGAUGCAAUAUCGUGAGAUGGAGCAAAUCGCAAAAAGCACGCCCCAGUUCGGAUUGGAGUCUGCAACUCGACUCCAUGAAGCCGGAAUCGCUAGUAAUCGGAGAUCAGCCACGCUCCGGUGAAUACGUUCCUGAGCCUUGUACACACCGCCCGUCAAGUCAUGAAAGUUGGUAACACCCGAAGCCGGUGGCCUAACCUGUUGUGGGGGAGCCGUCGAAGGUGGGACUGGUGAUUAGGACUAAGUCGUAACAAGGUAGCCGUAGGAGAACCUGCGGCUGGAUCACCUCCU
rnacentral:rRNA from 1 species